GAACAGUCGGUGGUCAAUUUUGAAAACAUUUUCUCUUUGUUUUGAGUUUUUUCCACUUUUUAAUUAAAUUUUUCCAAUUCCUUAUUGUUUGCUAAUCUAAUCUUUCAUCUUCUAGUGUUUUUCAUAAUAAUUACCGAUGGAUCGACAAGUGGUUGAUGAUCCGUUUGUAAAAUAUUUAUUGGACAAUCUGCAUGGAGAAGGAAAAAUUUUCUUACAAAAUUUGAUCAAUUGUAAUGAGAAUCUGGAAACAUUAACUAAACUGAUUCCACUUUUGAUGAGUGACAUUAACUUUUACCGAAAGGAUUGUUUGAUCCCAAUGAUUGUGGAGAAAAGUAUUGAAAUUUGUUCCAAAUUUGAGAAGAAAAGAAAAUUGGAUGAAUUACGAGAAAGAGCAAAGGAAUUAAGUGAAGCCACGGAUAAAGAAAAAACUCAAUAUGAACGAAGUUUGGCCUACAGGAAUAAAGAGAUUGAUUUCUCUCGAAAAUGUGAGAAUAGUCAAUUAUUUUAUGAGAACAAAAUGAGUGAAUAUUAUAAACAAAUCAAGCAACUAGAGAAUCUCUUGGUUAAUGUUGGCUUUUACGAUGAACUUUCCGAACAAUCAAUUAAAACCUUGGAACAAGAUAACAACCUGUUAAAAGAUCAAAUCAAAGAGAUUAACGAUAAGCUGACCUACUAUACAUUUCAACCGGAUGAGGAAUCGCUGAAAAAAACCAUUGAAAGUUUAAGAAAUGAAAUUGAAAUUAUGAAUGAAGAUUUGGAAAGAGUAAUUGAAGAGUUUAAUGUCACCAAGGGACAAGAAUAACAAUCGGUUUAUUUUGGUUUCAUUUCGAAACGAAAACUAAUUAUAAACAGUUGAGAAUAUGAAUCAAGGUCAUUUCUCGUUCCUUUCCUAAAAUCUGAUGGACUUAAAAUCUGUGGUGAUUAUCGGGAUCAACAAGUGGUUGGUGAUCAUCGAUCACUUGUCAAAUAAUUAUUGGAAAUAUGAAUGGUGAAGGAAAAAUUUUUACAAAAUUGGAUCGUUUUGAUUAAUAAUUACAUGAGAGUCUGGAGACAUUAAGAAG